AUGCGCGAUCUCUCUCACCAACAGAGAGAUCACGACCAAAGUAAUGUAUUCACAAACAUUUCCAUGCGCGCACUAUUUCCUGCCGGCGUCCCGCUGAAUGUACUUGAGCACCUCGGCGGGCGGCACGCCGCGCCACACCCGCGGCCGCGGCACGCUGUGGCCGAGCUUCGCGAACCCGUGCGCCACCCUGUUCCCUCCCCGGCGCACGUGCGACACGGCCAUGCCGUCGCCGAGCAGCGGGAGCAGCUCGGCGAUCUCCUUCCACAGCCUGAGGUCCUCCUCCGCCCUGCCCAGGCGCGGACGCCUGUGGCUCCCCCGCGCGGCUUCCACGGCCGACAAGUCGUCGCCCUCGACCCAGACGCCGCUCCACCCGUUCUCCAGCGCCAGCUCCAGCCCGCGCCGGAGCGCGGCGAGCUCGGCCACGGAGCUCGUGGCCGCGCCGAUCCGCUCCGCGUAGCCCAGCACGAACUCGCCCUUGUGGUCCCGGUACACGCCGCCGAUACUCGCGCUCUGGGACGCGUGCCUGGAGGACCCGUCGAAGUUGAGCUUCAGGCGCCCCGCCUCCGGCUUCCUCCACUUGUUCGGCGAGUCUCCGCCGCCGUGCAGGCUCCGCCGCGCCUGGUACCCGCCUCCCAUUGCCACCGUUGGCAUUGCCAUUGCCAUUGCCUUGUCGACGAGGAGGGCAGAUACGGGGACGCGCUGCAGCAUCGCGCCCAUGGGUCGAAGGUGCACGCGCAGCAUGGUUGCCAAGAGAACGCGCGAUCUUGA
rnacentral:rRNA from 1 species